AUUGAACGCUGGCGGCAUGCCUUACACAUGCAAGUCGAACGGCAGCACGGGUGCUUGCACCUGGUGGCGAGUGGCGAACGGGUGAGUAAUACAUCGGAACAUGUCCUGUAGUGGGGGAUAGCCCGGCGAAAGCCGGAUUAAUACCGCAUACGAUCUACGGCUGAAAGCGGGGGCCCUUCGGGCCUCGCGCUAUAGGGUUGGCCGAUGGCUGAUUAGCUAGUUGGUGGGGUAAAGGCCUACCAAGGCGACGAUCAGUAGCUGGUCUGAGAGGACGACCAGCCACACUGGGACUGAGACACGGCCCAGACUCCUACGGGAGGCAGCAGUGGGGAAUUUUGGACAAUGGGCGAAAGCCUGAUCCAGCAAUGCCGCGUGUGUGAAGAAGGCCUUCGGGUUGUAAAGCACUUUUGUCCGGAAAGAAAUCCUUGGCUCUAAUACAGUCGGGGGAUGACGGUACCGGAAGAAUAAGCACCGGCUAACUACGUG
rnacentral:rRNA from 1 species